AUUCUCUUAAUACAACUAGUAUAAGUGACUUCCAAUCACUCAGCCUUGGUUCAACCCCAAGAGAGAAUA
rnacentral:tRNA from 2 species